AUAUCAGCGUUGGACCCAGUAUCUGCAUCGUUUGCCUUGAUCUUGCCGACGGCGGAACCGACUUGAGCCGAUUCAGGAACGUAGAGCUGUGAACAAUGAACAGUUUGCUGCUGCCCCCUGCCUGGAAACUGCAGCUUCCCCAUCAACCUGAUGUGGAAGGGGGUACAUUUGGGAUUUCCUGCCGGGUGAUUGCAGGUUGAAAACGUUCCAUCUGAGUUUGUGGCAAAGAAAGAACCUCACUGAGCCUGACUCCCUGACCUAUAAUAUGUUCAAGCUCACUGACUAAUGACAUUCAUACUGCAGUGCAUCCUACCCAAAUCAGCUGUUCAUUCACUAGGAACACCUAAAUGAAAAUAAACCAUUCUUGCAGAUAAUUA